AUUGAACGCUGGCGGCAGGCCUAACACAUGCAAGUCGAACGAGUCGCGGACGGGUGAGUCAUGUCUGGGAAACUGCCUGAUGGAGGGGGAUAACUACUGGAAACGGUAGCUAAUACCGCAUACCAUCGGUUGUGCACAGAUGGGAUUAGCUAGUGGUUGGGGUAAAGGCUCACCUAGGCGACGAUCCCUAGCUGGUAUGAGAGGAGGACCAGCCACACUGGAACUGAGACACGGUCCAGACUCCAACGGGAGGAAGCAGUGGGGAAUAUUGCACAAGGGGGGCAAGCCGAAUGCAGCCAUGACGCGUGUAGGAAGAGGGCUGUCGGGUUGUAAAGCACUUUUGGCAGGAAAGCGGUACCUACAGAAUAAGCACCGGCUAACUACGUGCCAGCAGCCGCGGUAAUUC
rnacentral:rRNA from 1 species